rnacentral:rRNA from 1 species
AGUGAACGCUGGCGGUAGGCCUAACACAUGCAAGUCGAACGGCAGCACAGUAAGAGCUUGCUCUUACGGGUGGCGAGUGGCGGACGGGUGAGGAAUACAUCGGAAUCUACUUUUUCGUGGGGGAUAACGUAGGGAAACUUACGCUAAUACCGCAUACGACCUACGGGUGAAAGCAGGGGAUCUUCGGACCUUGCGCGAUUGAAUGAGCCGAUGUCGGAUUAGCUAGUUGGCGGGGUAAAGGCCCACCAAGGCGACGAUCCGUAGCUGGUCUGAGAGGAGGAUCGGCCACACUGGAACUGAGACACGGUCCAGGCUCCUACGGGAGGCAGCAGUGGGGAAUAUUGGACAAUGGGCGCAAGCCUGAUCCAGCCAUACCGCGUGGGUGAAGAAGGCCUUCGGGUUGGAAAGCCCUUUUGUUGGGAAAGAAAAGCAGCAGGUUAAUACCCCGCUGUUCUGACGGUACCCAAAGAAUAAGCACCGGCUAACUUCGUG